rnacentral:lncRNA from 1 species
CAAUGAGUCAAACCCAUUCUGCCUGGAUUCUCAGCCUCGGCCUCUGAAAAACAACUCUAUUGCGUCACUCAGAAAUUCACCAGGCAUUCCCAAGAUGAGUCAGCCACCAAGAGGGGACCCAACCAAAGGCUGGCAUGAGUCCAAGGAAAAAAAUGUUUUUAAAAAAAGAAGAAAAGUGCUCUGAGAAACACCAAUUAUAACUGAAAUUGUUUAUACAACCCUGUAAAGGACCCUUGACUAAGCUAUCAAUAUGCUCAAACUCAUACUGGGAAUUAAGUUGUGAGGACACGUUUGUGUAGAUAGUGUCAUGGUUACGGGAGCAGCCUGGGGAAGCUUAGCUCCUCAUUAAAGGAGGGACUUUUGGUCCCUGUGAAGCUUCUAAGAAGCAAGCCUCAGGGGCCCUGCACACAUAUUACAAUACCUGGCAUUGUAGCAAAUGCUUAAUAAAUAUACGUUCUUUUUAUUAUUGGUAUAGUUGUUUCCAUAAAUUCAAGAGAUUAAGAAUGCCAGAACUAAACUCCUUUAAAAGAAAAAUCUGGAGACCAGCAAUGACAUCUAAAAGCUACAUGUCAUCCUUUUAACAGUAAUUUUUCCCUCCAGAAUGGCAGGAACUUCUUUCAAAAGAUUCUCCAACCUAUUGGUAGGAGAGGAACAGUGUUUAAGAUAAUACCAUGGGCUCUGCUGUCACCUAGUGGAAAAUUAGAUUAUUAUAAGCUGUUCUCAAUUACAACCUCAUUGUGAUAGUUGCCAACCGGCUCCCAUUGACUUGCAUUGUACAGUUCAUCAAAUUCCAAGUUAGAGUCCGUGUCUAUGUUGACAUGCCUUUCUUUAAUCCCCCAAACAGCAAAGGCACGUGAUCCUGUGUGAGCUGCACAAUCAGAGACCAGUAGCUGUAGAAAACGCUCUUGGCCACUGCCGGGUCUCCCGGUCAUGGGACAUUGCAGGGUCCUCAGAGCAGAGGGUCUGGUACACGAUGCUCCUGGUACCCUGUGGCCUCUCCCUUCUUGUAGACCUGUGGCCCAAUUAUUUGGCACCUGAUUUAAGGCUUCUUUUGUUAUUCUCUGAUGUUACCCCAUCUGGUUUGCAUCCUUCUUAAGAGCAAGGAAUACCCCUUAUGUUUGUUUCUCGAGGAUCCACCAUAGCGAUUGACUAACAUGCUUUUUGGUGCAUACUUUAUUAAAACUCUGCUGACUGGAUUUUUGGACACUCUCCUACAUGAGAGAAAGGUGGCCCUUUCACUUCUGUGUUUCCAGGUCCAAGGC